ensembl:lncRNA
CUUCUCCCACCCCUAUCCAACCACUAGGUUUAAUGUGCUGAAUGUUUACUAGAGUAUUAGUAAUAAGAGGACGCCAGUCUCUGUAAACUGUGAACUCUUAAUAAAAAGAUAGCUCUUUAGUUUCUAUUAAAGAAGAAAACCUACAAGCCCAACAUGCCCAAGAGGAAGGGAGCUGAUGGAGAUGUCAAGGAGGAGGUUAGUCACACACACUUGAAUAUAACCAUUGUGGAGUUGGCUACAGGUGGUACUUCACAUGAUCAGUAGUGAUCUCUGGUGAUUUUAUCACAUUAUUUGCUAUUUUAAACCUGCAUGGAUCAUGCAUUCUUGAAAUAGGUUAGUAUUCAUUGUCUGCAUUAUGAAGAUAAAUAAAGCAUCAUCAUUUAGUUCCUUAUGAAAUGUUGUCGUGCAUCUUUGAAUGUUAUUUUUUUCUCGCCAUAAAUUAGCCUUCGAGGAGAUCUGCACGGUUGUCAUCGGUGAGUACAUCUUGUUUUUUAAAGCAGGGCGGUUCAAUUACAGAUCUGUAUAUAACGAAAAGUUGUUUACCUGGCAGGUUUGUUUCUAUGGGUUUAAUCUUUAAACCCAUAGAAACACAUCAGGCUUAUUCUGGACUGAUUUUGUCCAGAACAUCCUGCUUCACUCUUCUCUGUUUCAACUCUGGUCCUGGAGGGCUGAAACUCUUUUGGUUUUUACCCUCUCCUUCUAAUAAGGGAUGGUUUCAGAUCUGGGACACCAGGUCAUUCAAAUUAAUUAUGUAUCAGUAGAAACAAAAAACAGAAGUGUUUUGGCAUUCCAGUUGCAGUGUUGAAUAGUCCUGCUCAAAAGGUCACAUUUGGACAUUUAAUAUUUUUCUGAUAUACGGCAUCCACACUUCAGGUGAAAAGAGGUUUUCAAGCUGAAACAUUUAGCAUCUAAAGUGCUUUUUUAAAUGAUUCUUGGUAAAGUGUCAAGCAAGGUCAUGCCUCCAUAUCUUGCCAUGCCCCCUGAAUUAAUGACAUUUAUUUUAUAAAGCCCUUUUUACAUAAGCAGUUGUCAAAAAGUGCUUUAACAGAUACACAGACAGAAACCCUAAUGAGAAGGCAACAUUUAUAUAUAAAAUUGGUUUGAAUGAAGUGAUGGCACCAAUUACUAAGUUUUUCUAUUGGAUGUUACAUAUUUACAAAACGUCUCCCACACGUCUGUUGAAAGUGUGUGAAUUAUUGUGUUCACUGAUUAGGACAUUUAUCAUUAUUUCUAUUUAAGUAGAAGACAGCGACAGGAGCUAUACUGCUUUAGGAAACUCAUCAGUCAUCAUUACUGGACCUGUCAUAUUCUCUAAAGCUAGUGUAAAGUCCAGUUGCACUAAUGAUAAUGUACCUUGAAAAAUGUUAUUUUUAUUGUUGACAGAAGUGUAUCCACAACAAAAACAACAUACAUUAACAUAUUUUGAUGGUAUUUUCAAUUACCUUGCCAGUCAAGGCAUCAUUGAUUUAUACUGGUGUUCCACCCCUUUUAAACAAAUUUGCAAAACAAACGUUUUAAGACAGUUUUCUUCAUUGCAAGUUCUUCUGUAUUUUUCAGAAACCAGCACCUCCAAAACCAGCACCAAAACCAAAAAAGCCAGCUAAAGUAAUAUUCACCUUUCUUCAAUACUGGCUAAUUUAUGUUAUUAACUUACUACAAUUAUGCAAAUCAGGUGUUCAGUAUUUGAUGUUGUCUUCCCCACACAUUCACCUGGAUUAUGUUUUGAAAAUGUACAUGCAUAUUGUCCAAACAGAAAGAAAAAGAGGUAAAUGACAAGAAGAAGGUGAAGGCAGCAGCAGCCGAGGAACCAAAAGAGGAGACCCAGUCAGAAAAUGGCGAGACCAAGACAGACGAAGUAGAGACUCCAGAGGAGGCAGACGAUAAGGAGGAAGAGAAGACUGACUAGCACCGAUCCCAUACAUUCAAACCCCUCAUUUGUAUGGCCCCCAAGUCUCAUGUGUUUUCCCAAAAACCUCCAUUACCUUAUUAACAGAGGAAUAUUUUUAUCAACAAUUUUGUAAUUAUUGGUGCAUGUUUUUAGCACAAAAUAAAGCUAAAUAUGGAGGAUUGUUCUGUUGUGCAGUGGUCAUAUCAAGUGUUUUAAGCAAACAUAAUUACAGUUUUGUUGUUAUAUCAGUGUUGGUACCAUGUUGGGAGUUCAGACAGGAAAGCUGGCUAAUUACAGGUGGUAUAGUAUCACAUUGUAGGUUUGCCAACUCAGAACAUUUCACUUUUGUAGGUGGAUGUAUUUUUACCCUUGAUAUGUGCAGUGUUAUUUCUUUGUGUGGGGGUGUUCUUGUUUUCAACUUGAUUGUCUGUAAGAGGAAUUUAAAUAUUUUGAAAAAUGUAAAACAUUCCAGGCUUAAUAAUGUUGUGGGCAUACCUGCUUUUGAAAAAAUCUUGUUCUGAAUUAUUUUGAUGACACAAAUUAUUUUAGCAGAGGAAGAAGCUUGCUGGAAGUGGCUUAUGCUUUUUGAAACAAAUGUUGGUAUUUUUUAACAGUGAAAAUUAAUCUAUUGAAAUAUGCAGCUAUCGUUUGUGUUCCCACUGAAGUUCUGGAUAUCUAAUUGGAAUUUAAUAAAAGUAAUUGGAAUUUUCCUCAUGAGGAUGCAC